UUCGCGUGUGCUUCUGUGAUUGUUGUGUAUGAUGAAAGAUUCAUUGAAACUCUGUUACGUGAAUUCUUGUGUGCGUCGCGUGUGAACAAAUGCUCUGUGUGAAUCGUUGUGUGGAGACGAAUCCUAGAUCAAGCAUAAUUGCAGCUUCGAUGUGAAGCUCCAAUGGCUUCCUAAUGGACCUUUGUGCAAGGUUAGAAGGGAGAGAAAAAUGGUGAAUAGAGGUUAUGAUAGUGAUGAGUGAGCUUUGAGAAUUGUUCCUUUUUGAUUGAAGAGUGAUGUAUGUUUAUAUAGUUUGGAAGCCGUAAUCGAGUCGGGUAGCUCGGGUAGAAUGGUUAAGGCAGAGCAAUUGCACUUGGGGUUGGUUACGGGAUGCGAUUAAGUUUGUGAAUCAGAAGGAAAAUAGAUUGGUUAUGUUGAUUUGGACUAAAACAGGUUUUAGUUGCCUAGUUAUUCGCAGCUUUGGAUUUUUCUGCUAUGCAUAUGCUGCUGUUGGGCAUUGCCUUGCUUGAAUAUUUGAAAUCGAUUUCUGGAACUGCUGUUGGAUUAUUGAUGCAAGAUUAUGGAUGUUGGC